rnacentral:rRNA from 1 species
UCCGUAACGAGCGCAACCCUUGUCCUUAGUUACCAGCACGUUAUGGUGGGCGACUCUAAGGAGACUGCCGGUGACAAACCGGAGGAAGGUGGGGAUGACGUCAAGUCAUCAUGGCCCUUACGGCCUGGGCUACACACGUGCUACAAUGGUCGGUACAAAGGGUUGCCAAGCCGCGAGGUGGAGCUAAUCCCAUAAAACCGAUCGUAGUCCGGAUCGCAGUCUGCAACUCGACUGCGUGAAGUCGGAAUCGCUAGUAAUCGUGAAUCAGAAUGUCACGGUGAAUACGUUCCCGGGCCUU